rnacentral:misc_RNA from 1 species
GUACUACUGAAGUUGGUUCAAGGCGAGUUGAACAACAGACAGUGCUGGACCUUGAUUUUUAUACAUGAUGAUGUCGAAACUUGAGUACGAAGCGAACAAGACUCAGUUGUUCUUGCUGAUAAACAAAGUCGAGCUUGAGGAUGAAGGGAUGUACCAGUGUGAAAUUAAUUACAUCAUUGAAAGCAUUAACGAGGAUUGUAACUAUGACGCGCAAUUCAUCAACUUUACAACACUGAUUAAACCUGAGUUCAUUACAAUUGAAGGAGACGGGAAAGAGAUAACGAACGGGUCAAAGAUCGGCCCGUUGACCGAAGACGACGAAAUCACCCUGACCUGUUCUUCCGGUGGAGCCAAGCCGAUUCCAACGAUUCAGUGGUACAACGGGACGACUCUCCUGGAAGGGGAGUGUGAAGAGGAAAAAACCGAUGGCCUCAUCGGUACCAACACGAACAAAGUGAAGAUCAGAGUCAGCAGGGGUGACUUAGGAAUCGACUACCAAUGCCGAGCUCUUCAUCCAACGAUCGCAGGCUACAUCUCAAAAGAGUUCCAGUUCGAAGUCAACGUGCGUCCCAACAAUCUUGAGAUGUCACCGGUAAACUACCCUAUAAUCAAAGGGAACAAAGUCCAUCUGACUUGUACGGUGAAAGGAGCGAGGCCUGCGGCGAACAUAACUUGGUACAACGGAACUACAGCUCUUCAGGAAACGGAAAGCGAAGUAAAAAUGUUAAUAGAUAGGAAACCCUACACGAAAAAGAUAGCGAACGGAGACAACACUUUUGAUACAGUUUCUCAACUCGUCUUCAUCGCUACAAGGUUCGAGAACGAGCAAUCACUGAGCUGCGAAGCCUCCAACGAAAUAAUGAGAUCGAGACACGAAGGGAACAUGAGAGAAACAACCACUUUGGAAGUUAUGUACCCUCCGAUAGUGACUGUAGCACCUGAAAACAUAACUGUCAACGAAACAACGGACAUUCUUAUUUUCUGUCAGUACGAGGCCAAUCCGUCUACUCUCGUUUCUGUUAAAUGGAUGAGAGAUGAAGAGGAAGUAAUACUUGAGCCUGAUCAUUACCAAGGAGGCACAACGGAACAUACAGCACUUUUAAUCAAAAAUUCUACUAGAUACGACAUUGGCUCGUAUACUUGUAUAUUGGCAAAUGAAAUCGGUGCUAUGCCUUCUCAUAAUUCUGUGAAUGUUUCUGUAUACUUCAAACCUAUUGUAAACGUUAGCUUGUCACCACCGUCACCGGUAACAGAAGUGGAUAAUUUAAACAUUACGCUAACUUGUAAUGUGAUUGCUGGAAACCCUGAUACAUUAAAAGCAGUGAGGUGGUAUCUUAACGGCCAACUGCUAAAAGAACUUCCUGACUGUUCGGAUUCAACUUUUUGCAAUUUGGAUCCUAGUAUGAUGUUACUGGAAGAAGUCGGAAGAAAUUUUCAUGGCAAUUACUCCUGUAUUGGUAUGAACGAUGCCGGCUGGGGGCCGAUUUCACCAGAGGCUGAACUUGCUGUUUACUACCCUCCCAGUGCUGUAACACUUAAAUACACUCCCUCCAGCGUUGUAAAACGUGGUUCAAUGACUUUAAUGUGUUCAGUCGGAGAUUUGGGCAGACCUGCCAAUACAACAUACAGAUGGAUGAGAGGAGCACACAUUGUUUUUGAUGUGACAACUGCCAAUUGGACUAUUGACCCAGUUACAUUAGAAACCCAAUCUAACUUUACUUGCGCUGCUGUAAAUUUAGGAGGAGAAAGUGAAUCAGCUACAGUUUUUGUAAAUGUCUUUGCACCACCAACAUUCAUAGAAAGACUGCCCUUGUAUUAUGGUGCUCUCAUGACAUCCCAAAGCAUAAGUAUAACAUGCAGAGUUGAAUGCUAUCCAGUUUGUUCGAUAACGUGGCAGAAAAAUGGCCAGCGGUUGGAGACCGGUUCAAGAAGUCGAUACUAUGUUAUUAGUAAAGUCGAACCACCAGACACAAGGACUAACGAUUUUCAGUCAGUCAAGUCAACACUUAUUUGGAAUAUGACUGCUUGGCCUGGAGGUGUCUUAGACAGAAUGACAGACAAUGCAAAUUACUCGUGUGAAAGCACAGGGAAUGCAGUAGGUUCUGGAGUCAAAAGCACCAUGUUCUUUGGUGUAGAAUACCCACCAGAAAAUAUGACUGUUUCUAACAGUAUCGUAAAUGUCACUGAAGGAAAUAUUCCUGAAAAGAUCUUAUGCUCAGCAAAAGCCUAUCCAGAAGCAACAUAUCAAUGGCGAAGGGAAGGAGAAAAUGAAGUAGUAAUGAAGGGAAACGCAUUAAUCGUCAACCAUGCCGUUUUAAGGAGAAAUGCUGGAAAUUACACAUGUGAAGCUCAAAACCGACAUGGCAAUAAUACGAAAACCAUCUUUAUUAAUGUUUUAUACCGUCCAGAAUGCGGAAUCACAAAGAAGGAAGUCGAGGGAAAACUCGUCCUAAUCUGCCAAGCCCUCGCAAACCCAGCCGAAGUUGAUUUUACAUGGAAAAUCAAAAAUGAGAAUGAAACAAUUGAAGAUAACAUUGAGAAAAAUGGACUCCAGAGUCUUUUAACUCUAGAAACAAGGGUUGAAAGCUUCAGAACUUAUUUGUGUUUUGCAAACAACUCGGUCGGAAUGUCCAUCCCGUGUGAAAUGGAUGUAACUGGAAGUAUCAGUUGGUGGGGAAAGCUGGAGAAAGAAAAUUUAAUGAUACUAAUUGCUAUUAUAGCAGGUAUCAUUUUGAUGGUCAUCAUCAUCUGCAUCAUCAUAAUCAUUGUUUGUAGAAGAAAACGGGCUGCAGAUAAAUAUAAUAUCCCAGUGGAGCUUGAAGAUAGAGAAAACCCCGAAGGAAGCUGUACCAACAACAACAAUAACAACCCAGGAGGAGCAAGUACACCGACAAACGGCCAUGUCUCCAAGUGGCCGAUGAGACCGGGUGUCCUUGUUCAUGUGAACAACAACCACAGCCUGCUUUCUUCAGCACCGAGCGGGAGAUCUCCAAAUGAGAGCCAGGCUUCAAGGACGAGCAGAAUAAAAGCCAUGUUUUCUCAGGAUCCGAACACCCAGCACUUUCCUGGUGUCUUCCAAUCAAAGUCAGGAGUGGUCACUUUCAAACGUCUCGAUUCCUCCUCUGAGAACAACACCUUGGUUAGACAACAGAAGAAACCGGAUAUUACAGGUCCAAACCCAUCUUCAAACAAGGAUAUAAACUCAUCACACAGCAAUGCUCUUCUCCCUCCAGACCCAGACAAGGCAUUUUAUGAAAACUUGCCCUUUCACAAUAUCCAAAACCCUCCCAACAAGGCUAGUCGACCACCAAGCAGAAUAAGCUCUGGAUAUGGCUCUGCCAGAAGCCAGAAAGCGUUAAGGCCAGCAAGAAAAUUUCUCACAGUACGUCCAUUGGGUACAAAACCAAGAAACUGGCCUCAAUUCCGUUCUUUGAGAAUUUCUAAAGCCAAGAAUAGCCUGCCAGUCCCAGCGCCGAGAGUAUUUUUCCCAAAAAAGCCACCAAUAAAUCACAGUUAUCAAAAUGUGCCUCCUCCAAAGGAUUUGAUAGCAGGAUCAUCAGAGAGCCCUGCCGAACCAAAACCAUCUGAACCAAAAGAGACUGAGAACCCUACCAAAGAAAAUGCAAAAGAUACCAGCUGUCCCAGGAUAGUUUUAGCCAAAGAGAAAAGUGUAAAUAGCAAAAAGGAUGUACAUAAAAGUGUUCCACCUCACAAUGACAUUCAGCAAAAUACCAAAGAUACCCAAAACGAAGAAGAAAAAGACAAUAAAAUUCGUUCCAAUGAUGCCAAAGAAAGUAAAGAAAAUCUGACACCAAUAAAUAAAACUCCAGAUCGAACUGAAGAGAGAAUAGCAUAUGGGGAGAACGGUGGGCGACAUCACAGUCACGGGAGGAGUUCGACAGGUGGAAGGACAAAACGAAAACAGCACCGGAGAUCAGAAAUGGAGUGCCCCAGGUACAGGCCUGGAUCGGCACCAGGAUCGCCGCCUUCGAACCGAUACCUGCCUCCAGACAAUCCGCCCCUUCCACAGCUUGUCUAUCAAGCCCCACCAAGAUCUCAUCACACAGAGUACAGCCACCCAAGAAACAAGACAGAUUACACUUUUAUUAAGUUCCAUGACGUAGGACAGGAAAUCGAUGUUUAAUUUGGAAGCCAAGGGCCCCAGUGUAACAUACAUUUUUUGAAAAGGAACAGAGGAUUUUAAUAUUAAGCCUUACAGACCUGAAUACU